rnacentral:rRNA from 1 species
AAUUUUGGACAAUGGGGGAAACCCUGAUCCAGCCAUCCCGCGUGUAUGAUGAAGGCCUUCGGGUUAUCAAGUACUUUUGGCAGAGAAGAAAAGGCAUCCCCUACUACGGGAUGCCGCUGACGGAACACGCAGAAUACGCACCGGCUAACUACGUGCGAGCAGCCGCGGUAAUACGUAGGGUGCAAGCGUUAAUCGGAAUUACUGGGCGUAAAGCGUGUGUAGGCGGUUCGGAAAGAAAGAUGUGAAAUCCCAGGGCUCAACCUUGGAACUGCAUUUUUAACUGCCGUGCUAGAGUAUGUCAGAGGGAGGUAGAAUUCCACGUGUAGCAGUGAAAUGCGUAGAUAUGUGGAGGAAUACCGAUGGCGAAGGCAGCCCCCUGGGAUAAUACUGACGCUCAGACACGAAAGCGUGGGGAGCAAACAGG